GUAUCCUGGCUCAGGAUGAACGCUAGCUACAGGCUUAACACAUGCAAGUCGAGGGGCAGCAUGGUCUUAGCUUGCUAAGGCCGAUGGCGACCGGCGCACGGGUGAGUAACACGUAUCCAACCUGGCCGUCUACUCUUGGACAGCCUUCUGAAAGGAAGAUUAAUACAAGAUGGCAUCAUGAGUUCGACAUGUUCACAUGAUUAAAGGUAUUCCGGUAGACGAUGGGGG
rnacentral:rRNA from 1 species